CUAGUUCUACAUGGCUGACACCUGUCUGGUGGUCUGCUGUUUGCCAGGGCAGGGCCUGCCCUCAGACAGGGGCUUGACAAGCAGAGCGCAGUGUUAUCCAACGCGAGCUCUGCUUUGCUGCAGGCUGCUCCGUCCCAAACCUCAGCCCUAUCUUGAACGAACAUCACACAGCCGAGAUGAAAAAGAGGGAAAUCGAUGCAGGGGAGAGCGCGCCGUGUAGAGAGCCUGGCUUUGCUUUGAUCGAAGGUUGACUGACAAGACCUUCAGCCCUGUGAUCUCCGGCAUGAUGAAGGACCAGAGCCAUGACGAGUACAGAGGGGGUGUGAGACAGAGGGCUCUGUCUGCAUCUAAAGCCUGCUGGGAAAGGCCGCACUCUCAUCUCCCACACAGCAGAAUGCAUAUGCACCAAAAUCCUCUUCACUUUAAAACAACCUUCCCCUUCAGCCUCCUCCGGUACUCCCGACGGGGGAGGGAGUGAAGUUUACGGUCGUCUGAUGAAGCGUGUCCUCUGGUCUACCUUUGCUGUGGAUGGUGACCUCCACUGAGGCUCGAGAGAUGCCUCGGCCUAGAGCAUUGUGGGUACGCUAAGACUGAAUGACAAACACAUCAUGGAAGCACAGACGAGGAGCUUUACUGAACCUUGUGAUCCAUGUCACUGCCUCGAUGGGAUGCACACACAGAUAUAAAUCCACUGACAUUACCACAGACGGAUGUUUGCAUACAAGAGUUUUCAGCUGAAAAGCUGCAUUAGCACUGAAAGAUUGCUCAUGAUGCAUCGUGGUUCAGGGGAUUCAUUCUAUGCUUUUUAUUUUAUUUAAGCUUAAAGGAAGAAAUGAAAGUUUGCAGAUGGCAGAUUUUUCUCCAGCAUGCUAAAUGAUAGAAAAAUUGCUAAAGUAAGCAUAUUAAAGCAGAAUUGUAUAAUUUCUGUGCCAUUACUGGCAACAAACAGAUUGGGGGUCAGUAACAUCUUAAAUCUCUUAUACUCAUCAUGGCUGCAUUUAUUUGAUCAGACACAACACUGUAAAAUUAGUAAUAAAUAAUUAAUAUUUCAAUUUAAAA